GCAUGCUAGUUGCACGAGUUUAGACUCGUAGCAGAUAGCUCAGUAACACGUGGCCAAACUACCCUAUGGAUCCGGACAACCUCGGGAAACUGAGGCUAAUCCGGAAUACGGCUCUCAGCCUGGAAGUGGCGAGAGUCAGAAACGCUCCGGCGCCAUAGGAUGUGGCUGCGGCCGAUUAGGUAGACGGUGGGGUAACGGCCCACCGCGCCAGUAAUCGGUACGGGUCGUGAGAGCGAGAGCCCGGAGACGGUAUCUGAGACAAGAUACCGGGCCCUACGGGGCGCAGCAGGCGCGAAACCUUUACACUGCACGACAGUGCGAUAGGGGGACUCCGAGUGCGAGGGCAUAGAGCCCUCGCUUUUGUACACCGUAAGGUGGUGUACGAAUAAGAACUGGGCAAGACCGGUGCCAGCCGCCGCGGUAAUACCGGCAGUUCGAGUGAUGGCCGAUCUUAUUGGGCCUAAAGCGUUCGUAGCUGGCCAGUCAAGUCUGUCGGGAAACCUGCCCGCUCAACGGGCAGUCGUCCGGCGGAAACUGAUUGGCUUGGGACCGGGAGACUCGAGGAGUACGUCCGGGGUAGGAGUGAAAUCCUGUAAUCCUGGACGGACUACCGAUGGCGAAAGCACCUCGAGAGAACGGAUCCGACAGUAAGGGACGAAAGCUGGGGUCUCGAACCGGAUUAGAUACCCGGGUAGUCCCAGCCGUAAACGAUGCCCGCUAGGUGUGGCACAGGCUACGAGCCUGUGCUAUGCCGCAGUGAAGACCCAAGCGGGCCGCCUGGGAAGUACGUCUGCAAGGAUGAAACUUAA
rnacentral:rRNA from 1 species